rnacentral:rRNA from 1 species
CAAUAGCGUAUAUUAAAGUUGUUGCGGUUAAAAAGCUCGUAGUUGGAUUUCUGCUGAAGGCAGCCGGUCCAUGUUCGACAUGCGCAUCUGGAUUGACUUCGGCAUCCUCUCAGAUAACGAUUCUGUGCUUGAUUGUAUGGAGCGGAGUUUGAGACUUUUACUUUGAGGAAAAUAGAGUGUUCACGGCAGGCAAUCGCCCUGAAUAUAUUAGCAUGGAAUAAUAAAAUAGGAUCUUGGUUCUAUUUUGUUGGUUUCUAGAACGAAGAUAAUGAUUAAUAGGGACAAUUGGGGGCAUUCGUAUUAACGCGUCAGAGGUGGAAUUCUUGGAUUGCGUUACGACGAACUACUGCGAAAGCAUUUGCCAAGGAUGUUUUCAUUG